GACGAACGCUGGCGGCGUGCUUAACACAUGCAAGUCGAACGGUAAGGCCCUUCGGGGUACACGAGUGGCGAACGGGUGAGUAACACGUGGGUGAUCUGCCCUGCACUUCGGGAUAAGCCUGGGAAACUGGGUCUAAUACCGGAUAGGACCCUGGGAUGCAUGUCCUGGGGUGGAAAGCUUUUGCGGUGUGGGAUGGGCCCGCGGCCUAUCAGCUUGUUGGUGGGGUGAUGGCCUACCAAGGCGACGACGGGUAGCCGGCCUGAGAGGGUGACCGGCCACACUGGGACUGAGGUACGGCCCAGACGCCUACGGGAGGCAGCAGUGGGGAAUAUUGCACAAUGGGCGCAAGCCUGAGGCAGCGACGCCGCGUGAGGGAUGACGGCCUUCGGGUUGUAAACCUCUUUCGGUAGGGACGAAGCGCAAGUGACGGUACCUACAGAAGAAGGACCGGCCAACUACGUGCCAGCCGCCGCCGUAA
rnacentral:rRNA from 1 species